rnacentral:rRNA from 1 species
UUGAAUAUACCGGUUCUCGUUAGAACACCGAAGUCAAGCAUUAUGGGGCGCGGUCAGUACUUGGGAGGGUGACCACCUGGGAACACCGCGUGCCGUU